rnacentral:misc_RNA from 1 species
AACGAAACACGUCCUAGUCUGUUAAUCUCUGCCACAAUUUCAUUCCUCAAUUGCUCCGGAGUGAUGUAUUCUUUGCCGGAGAUAGUAUGAAGGAGAUCAAAGUCAAUGAUUUGGAGCUGAUGAAGCUUCUGGACCAAUUCGACAACAUUUCGGUCUGAUAAUCGAACAGUAGAUUUUACUUGUUGUGCAAAUUCAAAUUGUCUCUGCAAUUCCAG